rnacentral:rRNA from 1 species
UCUAAUACCUUAUAGUAUCCAUCUCGUAUGGAUUAAAGCUUUAUGCGCUUUGGAGGGGCCUGCGUUUGAUUAGCUAGUUGGUGAGGUAAAAAGGCACACCAAGGCGACGAUCAAUAGCUGGUUUGAGAGGAUGACCAGCCACACUGGGACUGAGAUACGGCCCAGACUCCUACGGGAGGCAGCAGUAAGGAAUCUUCCACAAUGGGGGCAACCCUGAUGGAGCAAUACCGCGUGCAGGAUGAAGCGUUUCGGCGUGUAAACUGCUUUUAUCACCGAAGAUUAUGACUGUAGGUGAAGAAUAAGGACCGGCUAACUACGUG